rnacentral:rRNA from 1 species
AACGAACGCUGGCGGCAUGCCUAACACAUGCAAGUCGAACGAGACCUUCGGGUCUAGUGGCGCACGGGUGCGUAACGCGUGGGGACCUGCCCUUAGGUUCGGAAUAACUCCCCGAAAGGGGUGCUAAUACCGGAUAAUGUCUUCGGACCAAAGAUUUAUCGCCUUUGGAUGGGCCCGCGUUGGAUUAGCUAGUUGGUAGGGUAAAAGCCUACCAAGGCGACGAUCCAUAGCUGGUCUGAGAGGAUGUUCAGCCACACUGGGACUGAGACACGGCCCAGACUCCUACGGGAGGCAGCAGUGGGGAAUAUUGGACAAUGGGCGAAAGCCUGAUCCAGCAAUGCCGCGUGAGUGAUGAAGGCCUUAGGGUUGUAAAGCUCUUUUACCCGGGAUGAUAAUGACAGUACCGGGAGAAUAAGCUCCGGCUAACUCCGUG